UACGAAGGGGGCUAGCGUUGCUCGGAAUCACUGGGCGUAAAGCGCACGUAGGCGGACUCUUAAGUCAGGGGUGAAAUCCUGGAGCUCAACUCCAGAACUGCCUUUGAUACUGAGAGCCUUGAGUUCGGGAGAGGUGAGUGGAACUGCGAGUGUAGAGGUGAAAUUCGUAGAUAUUCGCAAGAACACCAGUGGCGAAAGCGGCGUGCUGGGCCUCUUCUGACGCUGAUGCGCGAAAGCCAGGGGAGCGAACGGG
rnacentral:rRNA from 1 species